CCUCUGUUCUGCCCUCCCUCUUUGUUAGAGCAGCUAAUCACGCUGCAGGAAACGGGUUGCCAUAGCAACAACCGUUGGGAGAGCAGAGCUGUGCAGCUUGCUGACCAGAUUUGCUAUAUGUAAAACGGAUUGAAGGAAAAUGCCAAACUGUAUUGUAAACGGAUGUCCUCAUAAAACUGGACAAAAGGACAAGUAUCCUAACGUCACAUUACAUUAUUUUCCAAAUAAUCUCAAUUAAAUUUGCAAUUGGCUAAAACAAACAUCUCAAUAUGAUGACAAUUUGCAGUCUACUGCCAAUGAAAUUUUGCAGUCAAUUAAGACGGGCAGGCACCGAAUAUGUUCGGAACAUUUUACAUCAGAUUCGUUUAUUAAAAAAGGAUCAAAGAGGGUACUUAACCCAAAAGCAGUGCCAUGUAUUUUUAAAAAACAACCAAAUCCAGUAAUUGUAACGGCUAUGGAAACUAUGCCUUUUCAAUGUCAUAAAAGUAGAAGAAUGGAGGAUGAAGAAGCAUCUACUUCUCACACACUAGUACGAAUUGUAAAUCAGUAUCUAACUAUAGGCACUCAAACAGAUCUAAACUUAUUCAUAGAUGUCAGUACGUCAACCGCUGGUUUAGCAUGUAGUAAAGAUGUAGCCUGUGGAGAGAAUCAAGAUAUUCGGCCGAUGAAUAUUGCAGUCCAAACCGGCGAUGAUUCUGUACCUGCAGAAACAUGGAGGGUAAUAAAGGAUCACUCUUACCCAGUUUUAUUUUCUACACCAUCCAAAUUACCUGCUCCAUUUAUGACUGACAACUCACAACCACCAAUAUUUGAAACUACAGAGCAUGCAUUGCCAUUGGAUGAUUCUUUUAAUAUGUGUGAUGCCGCAAGUGAUAAUAGAUCUUUUGAAAGUCUGACACUGACAGAUGCUAGCCGCAAAGACAUAACUUUUUCUUCAAUGUAUGAACCAGAUGACAGUCAUAUCUCAAACCUCACUGAUGAAGAUUCUACAAUUUUAGAUCCAGUAGAAGAAAUUCAUCAAAGACGCUACCUUGUUUUCAAUGAAAAUCUAGACCAGUUAUUUUACCUUUUGAAAUGUCAGCAUAACAUACAACCUCCUUGCCAAGCUCCAAUAGUGGAAAUAAACAAAAAGGAGUAUGGUACAUUGAUCGAGGUAAAUCUAAUGUGUCUCGCUGGACAUUGCGCAUUUACGUGGAAAUCACAACCACUUUAUGGUCAAAUUCCUGUAGGCAAUUUAGCUGUUGCAUGUUCCCUGCUACUUACCGGAUCAUCAUUUUUAAAGGUUAAAGAAAUGUUUAAUCUGCUAAACAUGCCAUUAAUUUCACACACCACGUAUUAUUCCUACCAAAAGAGAUACAUUUUACCUGCUAUUGAACUGGCUUGGAUAAGGGAACAAGAAGUAUUGAAAAAAGAUCUUUUUGAACAGGCAGUGGUUUUGGCUGGUGACGGUCAAUUCGACAGCCCAGGGUAUUGUGCAAAAUAUUGCACAUACUCAAUGAUGGACGUCAUCACCAAAAAAAUUGUUGCUUUUACAAUUGACCAAGUUGGUCCUGGGAAGAAAUCCGUGACCAAUUUAAUAGAUAAAGGAGUAGAUAUUAAAAUUUUGGCAACUGACAGACACAGUUCAAUAAGGUUAUUGAUGAAGACCAAAUUUAAAAACAUCAAUCACCAAUUUGAUGUUUGGCAUAUCUGCAAGAGUUUAGUAAAAAAACUUACUGCUGCUAGUAAGAAAAAAAACUGCAAGGAUCUCGCCACUUGGAUAGGUCCAAUUACGAACCAUUUGUGGUGGAGUGCGCAGACUUGUGAUCAAAAAGUGGAUGUGCUUUUGGAUAAAUGGCGCUCGGUUCUAUAUCACAUUGCCAACAAGCACACUUUUCCUAAAUUGAAAACUUACAAAAAAUGCCAACAUAAACCACUCACUGCCCAAGAAAAAAAAGAAAGAAAGUGGAUAACACACACUCACCCAGCUCACAGCAGCCUUGUGAAAAUCAUCACCGAUCCAUUAUUAAUUAGAGACAUCUCCAGCAUUGAAAAAUUUUGCCAUACCGGAGAUUUAGAAAAUUUUCACAGCAAGGUGCUAAAAUAUCGCCCCAAAAGAAUUGCAUACAAAAUGGAUGGCAUGCAUGCAAGAACAAUGCUUGCCAUUUUGUCUCACAACAAUAAUGUCAACAGACCACAAGCUAUUGUAAGAUGUAGUAAGAGAACAACCCAACCCAUUGGUGAGAAACGGUUCAGAUUAGUUUAUCCUAAACACAAGAAGAACUGGGUGACUAAGCCGAUUUAUGAAAAUGUGACUGAUGAACAUCUGUUUGACAUUAUGUCCGAUGCUGCCAAAAUACUUAAUGGAAACAUUGUCCAUAGAUGGGAAUCGAGAAGCAUCAAUUUACCAAAGAACAUUGCUGACAAAGAAAGGCCUGAAAAAAGCACUGCAGUUGCGGAGCGUUACUCCCGAUUUGGCCGAUAAACUGAUCUGAAGAAACUAUCAUACUUACCAUGUUGAAUUAUUAAAUGGAAGCGCGUCUAUAAUACACGAACAUAAUAACAGAACCUAUCGUCAUAGAAAGAAACUUUCAUACUCAAGACAGUUUCAUACUUACCAUACCAAACUCUGCACGAGUACAGGAACAUGAUAGCUAUGCCUACCAGGAGGACAUAUUUAGUCUUAAAAAAAGAGUUUAAAAACUGUGUUUGAAUAAAGAUAUCUUUUGGUUACUAUAAUAGUUUGUAAAAUCACAACAACCACAACAUUUUCAGUUUCAACGGUUUUUAUUAUUCCACAAUGUCAAAUAAGUUUCAAGAGUAUUGCAGAUGAAGUACAACAUUGGACCAAUUGUCGGUGAUCAAAUUUUCAAACAUCUUUUCACUUACAUAUUGUUAAAGGGAAACUGUUAUGUGAAAACGAUCUUUUGAGAAAUGCAUUUCAAGACAGAAUUCUACUGGAGGUGCACUAUUUCCUGAUGCACAUUGAAGAAAAAAUAAUUUUCCCAUGACCAAGAAUCCGUCGAGUUGCCUGAUUUGGAGUUUCUCCGUACCAUGACACACAUUGUGUUUGUUGAUUUGGAUAACUGGGCUCAGUUCUUCUCACAUUUGCCAGGAUACCUUAAUCAGGGAACAUUUGUCUGGGGCUUUCAAGGAGGGAAGAGCAACUGGAAGCGCCCAGUGAAGUGCAAAAUCUUCAAUUACCUAUCCAACACUGGUUCGUUCUUCCUUCAUCCCCACUGUAGUGAUCGAAAGGAUGCAGCUGAUUUUGCUAUUUGCAUGCAUGUAAGCGUGAGCUGUGUUUUCCUUCUUUGUUUCCUUUUUUUUCCCCUGUACUUUUGGUUAACAUCACAUUAGAUACUGCUAAUAAUUUUCUGUCAUGGGAAAGAGCAAUCGUCUUGGAAGAAAAUGUUAACAGCUGUGUAAGAUAUUUAUAAACCUACAAAACUUUAUAAUGAGAUGUAAAAGUUUGCUAAAAACUAUUCAGUUCGGACUGUUAAAAGCAUUGUGUAUUUAGAUAAAUAUUAUCCAACAUUUUUUUCACUGAAGUCUGUGAUUUUCAUUUCAGGCAGGACGUUUAGAUGAACAGCUUCCAAAGCAAAUUCCAUUUACCAUACUCUCUGGUGAUAAAGGCUUUCUGGAAUUGGAGAGCCAGUUUA